UCGGGAAUAUUGCGCAAUGGAGGAAACUCUGACGCAGUGACGCCGCGUAUAGGAAGAAGGUCUUCGGAUUGUAAACUAUUGUCGUUAGGGAAGAAAAAGGACAGUACCUAAGGAGGAAGCUCCGGCUAACUACGUGCCAGCAGCCGCGGUAAUACGUAGGGAGCGAGCGUUAUCCGGAUUUAUUGGGUGUAAAGGGUGCGUAGACGGGAUAAUAAGUUAGUUGUGAAAUCCCUCGGCUCAACUGAGGAACUGCAACUAAAACUGUUAUUCUUGAGUGUUGGAGAGGAAAGCGGAAUUCCUAGU
rnacentral:rRNA from 1 species